rnacentral:rRNA from 1 species
GAUGAACGCUGGCGGCGUGCCUAAUACAUGCAAGUCGAGCGAACAGACAGGAGCUUGCUCCUCUGACGUUAGCGGCGGACGGGUGAGUAACACGUGGAUAACCUACCUAUAAGACUGGGAUAACUUCGGGAAACCGGAGCUAAUACCGGAUAAUAUAUUGAACCGCAUGGUUCAAUAGUGAAAGACGGUUUUGCUGUCACUUAUAGAUGGAUCCGCGCCGCAUUAGCUAGUUGGUAAGGUAACGGCUUGCCAAGGCAACGAUGCGUAGCCGACCUGAGAGGGUGAUCGGCCACACUGGAACUGAGACACGGUCCAGACUCCUACGGGAGGCAGCAGUAGGGAAUCUUCCGCAAUGGGCGAAAGCCUGACGGAGCAACGCCGCGUGAGUGAUGAAGGUCUUCGGAUCGUAAAACUCUGUUAUUAGGGAAGAACAAAUGUGUAAGUAACUAUGCACGUCUUGACGGUACCUAAUCAGAAAGCCACGGCUAACUACGUG